UUUCUCUCAGGAUAGCUGGAGCUCGUAAAUGAGUUCUAUCGGGUAAAGCCAAUGAUUAGAGGCAUUGGGGGUGCAAUGCCCUCGACCUAUUUUCAAACUUUAAAUAGGUAGGAUGGAAUGACUGCUUAAUUGAGCUAUUCCAAGGAAUCUAGAGCUCCAAGUGGGUCAUUUUUGGUAAACAGAAUUGGCGAUGCGAGAUGAACCG
rnacentral:ncRNA from 1 species